GACGGGUCCCCGCACAAGCGGCGGAGGCAGUGCGGCGUUAAAUUCGAUCGCAACCCGAAGAACCUUACCUGGGCUUGACAUCAAUGGGAAAAGCCGUAGAGAUACGGUGUGCAUUAGCGUCCGUGACAGGUGGUGCAUGGCUGUCGUCAGCUCGUGUCGUGAGAUGUUGGGUUAAGUCCCGCAACGAGCGCAACCCUUGUCCUAUGUUGCCAGCGGUUCGGCCGGGGACUCAUAGGAGACUGCCGGGGACAACUCGGAGGAAGGUGAGGACGACGUCAAGUCAUCAUGCCCCUUAUGUCCAGGGCUGCACGCAUGCUACAAUGGCCGGUACAACGGGCUGCGAUCCCGCGAGGGUGAGCGAAUCCCUUAAAGCCGGCCUCAGUUCGGAUUGGAGUCUGCAACUCGACUCCAUGAAGUCGGAGUCGCUAGUAAUCGCGGAUCAGCAAAGCCGCGGUGAAUGCGUUCUCGGGGAUU
rnacentral:rRNA from 1 species